rnacentral:rRNA from 1 species
AGCAGCCGCGGUAAUUCCAGCUCCAAUAGCGUAUAUUAAAGUUGUUGCAGUUAAAAAAGCUCGUAGUUGAAUUUCGGGAUCAGUUGGUCGGUCGUGCCUCGGUACGUACUGGUCAAAUUGAUUCCUACCUUCUGACGAACCACGAUGUCAUUAAUUUGGUGUCGCGGGAAAUCAGGACUGUUACUUUGAAAAAAUUAGAGUGUUUAAAGCAGGCUCGCGCUUGAAUACAUUAGCAUGGAAUAAUGAAAUAGGACGUUUGAUUCUAUUUUGUUGGUUUCUAGGAUCGACGUAAUGAUUAAUAGGGAUAGUUGGGGGCAUUAGUAUUCAAUUGUCAGAGGUGAAAUUCUUGGAUUUAUUGAAGACUAACUACUGCGAAAGCAUUUGCCAAGGAUGUUUUCAUUAAUCAAGAACGAAAGUUAGGGGAUCGAAGACGAUCAGAUACCGUCGUAGUCUUAACCAUAAACUAUGCCGACUAGGGAUCGGAUGAUGUUAAUUUUUAAUUGACUCAUUCGGCGCCUUA